CAUUUCAUUCCAUUCUUCCAUGAAAUCCUCCUCUCCUUUCGAUAAAGGAGAGGAGGAUUUCAUGGAAGAAUGGAAUGAAAUAAAG